GGGGUCGGUUGCCCAAGGCUGGGCACUGGCACAGAGUGUGCUUUUGGCCGUGGCCUGGGAGAGAGAGAGACAGAGAGAGAGAGAGGGAGUACGGUGGGUGUUGAGGGGGAGGUACUGACUGGUCUUUGUCAGAUCUUAAUUCAGCACCAGGCAUCGGUCUAACCAGAAGCUGGAGGAGGCAGCUGGGUCAUUUAUUUGAUUGCCAAAGAAGAAUAAUGUGGUGCCCCCAAGAAAACCCCUUCUGAUUCCUCAUACUGAGAGCCCUUCCAACUAAUUCAAGAUGCUUCGCUCUGAGGUUCUGAGCCUGUUCCUAAGGAGAACUAUUCUAUUGAAGCUUCACUUCGUUUCUUGCAGGAUGGAGCUUCCAGGAUAGAGCUUCUUUUCUUCCUCAUGGCCUUGACCACCUAGAAUGCCGCUAGAAUGGAGGCUCUGUGUAUCAAUUUACUUAGCCCUCCGAGAGCAUCAUCUGAGGCCUAUCUCACCAGACUGGUUGAUAUUUAAAACACAGUUUAAAUUCUUACAUCCCAGGAUUGAACUGGAGACUGAUUGUCUAAGUGAUCAUCUGCUAAGUCUGGAUAAAAGCACACACUGAACACCUUCACUGUUGAUCCACAGUCUAAAACCCCAAAUAGAGCAUGCUACUCCCCUGCUUAGGGCAGUCCUCCUGCACAUGUAACUUUUUGGCAACCUUAUGAAUUCUAUGUCUACCACGUAGGCAGAUUCCAGAUUCCAAAUGGCUGAUGUGAGAAAAGAUAGCUUCCAAUUAAAAGUGGCACUCCCAGGCCACAUCCAACCGUAGACAUAUGGUCUCAAGCCUAGAAGAAAUUAUUGCAAAUUCUGCAAGCUACUCUAAUUUUGGUUAUUUUUUUUAGGGGUUAAUAUUGUGAUUAAAAUGUUUAUCUCAUUAGUUUUUGGUUUACAAAUUUCCAAUAUCUAUGGACAAUCUGCUAUGACCCAUGAGGCUUUAGAAAAUCCCUCACUUCUCUUUUUCCUGUCUUAAUAUAGUUAUAUUAUUAUUUUUAAUUCCUCUGUGACUUUUAUAACUUCACAUAAUGUAUGAAAUAUUUAUACCUUAUUCUGUCCAUGCAUAAUUUUCAAAUUUCAAAAAUGAAGGUAUACUAGCAUCUCUAUUAU
rnacentral:lncRNA from 1 species